UGAUAAUGGAGCCACAUGCCCAGGCUCAACCCAGGCCCAAGGAACUUGACCUGAAGCAGGAGGGUUGCCAACAACAGUCCUGGUGAGCCGCUGAGAAGACGGGAGCUGAUUUUAUAGACUCUGGGAUGGACAUGCGAGGCUUUGCUUAACCAUCUCUGCCAUUCUGGAAACGUCUAUGAGAGUCGUCCAACAGUGUCCAUGUCUCACGUGUUUUGCUGAGUCAGCAACUGGGCAGAAUGAUGAUCUUGUCUUUCAUCAGACCAGGAAGUUUAUAUGUAAACACAAGCGGUAAUGGACCCCUGACCUGCUCAGGGCUUUCAACCCAGUCAAUCCACAGAGGGAUUAACCCCAAAUACCGACUGGAUCUCAGAGGGUUCCAGACCUGCCUGUUCUCAUACUGCACGGACAGCCUUUUUCCAAGUCAAGGAACCUGCAAACUCGGAGAUUUUCUUCCGAAGACCUUCUCCUGGCAGCUGGACCCGCAUCAAUCGCUCACAAGAGACAAUGUAUCUGUGUUUUAGAGUCUCUCUGUUGCAAAUGGGUCCAGAAGUUUCCCAUGUUGUUAAGAGGGGGUGGGGACAGAGAAGGGGCCCAGAGAGGCUACGCACUCAACAGCCCCUAACAGCUGUGGAAAGUUUGAUGCAGCAGGGGCACCCAGACAGAAAAUUAAAAAACUAAUAAAGUCCUCAGUGUGGGGCA
rnacentral:lncRNA from 7 species